UUUUUUUUUUUUUUUUUUUUUUUUUGCUUUUUAGGGUCACACUUAAGUUUCCAGGCUAGGGGUCAAAUCAGAGAUGCAGCUGCUGGCCACAGCCAUAGCUACAGCCACAGCAACACAGGAUCCUUAACCCACUGAGCAGGGCCAGAGACUGAACCCAUAUCCUCAUGGAUACUAGUCAGGUUCACAAACCACUGAGCCACAGGGGAACUUCCAAAAACCAGUAUUUUCAAAGCAAUGUUCUUUAUAGUUAAGAAUCACUGGAUUCAUUCCUUUCUGGGCAGCAAAAUAUCGAUGGCAACAUGGUCAGAGUCCAUCAGAUGAGCUUCAUAACCUAGAACUUUAUGGAAUUAAGUUUGUCUGUCUUUAGGCCACGCCCAAGGCAUGCAGAAAUUCCUGGGCCAGGGAUCGAACCCGCGCCACAGCAGCAACCUGAGCCACAGCAGUGACAACACAAUGCCAGAUCCUUAACUCACUGGCCCACUGGGAACGCCCAGAAUUAAGAUUUGAUGGUAGGAGUGAGCUCAGGCUCUUAAGUUUUAACUGGAUUUUUGCACUUACGUGUAGGUACUCUCUUUAUGGCCUGUGUGAACCAGAUGUGUGUAACAUAAAUAAGAUAUGGUUUCUGCCCUCAAAGAGCUCACAAGCCAAUAGGAGAGAAAGACAGGACCCAGAUAAAAGCACAGGAGGGGAUGGGUUUGGAUGAAUUUGCAUAUGAUCAAAAGGAUGACUGGAUAGCCCGGGGUGGGGGUGGGGGAGGAUAGCAAGGGUGACAGCAACAAAGAAGUGUCGGGAGGCCAGUGGGGGCCGGUUUCGGGGGCCUCUGGUCAGGAUUAGGGAGGCUUUGAAGUAUUUGAAGCAAGAAGCGCUCAGGCCCAUGCUGGUGUUCUCUGCUCUUCCAGGGACAUGUCUCGUUUGUAUCAACAGGGAGGAUGUCUCAGCAGAACCAUUUCCUGACGGGUGUCAAGCUGAAAACAGAGUGCUCGCCCCAGGCUGGCUGAAACAGGAAUCCUAAGAGAAGCAACCACAUUGCCCCCCUCCACCCCCACGGCUGCCCACCGCCCUCCCCACGCCCCCACCCCCAGCCAGUCAAGUCUCUUCCUCUUCAGGAGGCCCAGGUCCUAGUUUCUCCUUUGAUCCAACACGACGGACAGGUGGUGUGUCAUGUCUGUGUGCUUAUAGGUGAAUGUGAAUGACUUUUCAAGGCAUCCUGAAAACACAAAAUCAUUCUUUGGAUUGCUUUUGUCAAAUAAUAAAAUUAUUUGACAUAAGUCUCAUUGAAAACAGAUGUGGAAAUACACAGUUCUGACUUUUUUACUAACCUUCCCUAGGGGUUCUUGGCUUAUGCCAAUCUGCAUUUUGAUGCUGAAAGUUUCAGCAUCUGUCUUUCCCAGGCGGGUUGUCCUUAAUAUCCAGGAAGACUUUGCGAGAGGACCCCUGAGCAGCAGCGAACAUGGGUAAGAGCAAGCCUGGGGCAUCAUCCUUCUUGGCUCCAUGAUGUAUUCCUCUGCAUCUCCGCGUGGGCACGGCUUCCUCCAGCCCCAGGUCACAGUUGAGACGUUUGGAUCAUUUAAGUCAGUUUCAUAAAAUGAUUAAAAGGAGUGCAAGUUUCUGUUUGUUCUAAGCUCAAGAAGCUGCUUCUCCUGUUGGCAAGUAUCAGAAUUUGCAGCUCACAGGAUAGUAAAGCAAGAGCUGCAUUUUCCUUUCUGUGCCUGUUACAAAGUCUAAGGUGGGCUGCCCAGGGCUGAUAGCCUGAUGCCGUGAUCUUUCAGCUCUGUAGCUUUUUUGUUUUCAAAUGUUUUCCAGAUGGUUUCUGCCCCUCCAGGCAGAACAUCUGCUCUCCACUCAGCCGGAAAUGGGAAGGGCACUACUUUGCCUUUUUAUUUUGGAACCUGGGGAGUGGUGGCCACAUCUCAUUGGCCAGAACUGCGUAAUAUCCCUGCCUUCAGAUGCAGGACAAGAGGGAGGUAAGGAAGGAUGUGGAUGAGCAUGUGUGUCGGAUAAACCCACCUCCUGUCUUCCCACUGUCUCAAGUAAGAAGAGGAAGGAGACACAGGGAAAUAGGAGUGGCUUCUGAGAGUUCAUCAACAGGGGGCAAUGGGAGCUCCCUUCACAGCCUCAAACAAGCUCCACGGAGGCCCACGUCUGUGCCACCUUGUUCCGACCUAAACAGCCAACCCAGGAUGAGGUUGCGGGUUCAAGCCCUGGCCUUGCUCAGUGGGUUAAGGAUCCGGCAUUGCCGUGAGCUGUGGUGUAGGUCGCAGAUGCAGCUCGGAUCUGGUGUUGCUGUGGCUGUGGUGGAGGCCGGCGGCUGCAGCUCCAGUUGGCCCCUUAGCUUGGCAACCUCCAUGUGCCGUGGGUUCAGCCCUAAAAAGACAAAAGACAAAAAAAAAAAAAAAAAAAAAAAAAAAAAAAAAAAAAAGUGGAAUGAGCACACUCUGAGGGGCCUAAAGCUUUGUGUACAGAGAAGGUGUCAUGAUUUUUAGAACAGAGCCAAGCCCUGACUACCUUUGCCGGCCAUCGAUCUGUUUCAUUUACUGAAUUUGACUUCACGAACAGAGACCAUUGAUAUUUAUAAGAACCCCUCGGUGGUUUUUCCAAGCCUUCUGCCACUUCUCACCAGCCAUAUCCUCUCUCACGAGUGGCUGGGGAGAGAUGCGUGUGUGUAUAGAACAUGCAUGUGCUCCGCCCAAGAGCUGUGUCUCGAAAUCCCACUUGUCACGUAUGUAUGAGGUUUCCCCUGCGCGUUUGCGCUCACACGGGCCCCAAAGGGUUAAAGCAACAUUCGCAGGAGCCGCACACACAAGUCUCUCCCAGGCUGUCCGAGGAGACAGUCACCCGAUCACACGGCAUCCAGUGAGGUAACUGUCCCACACGCAUCUCCUCCUCCUCGGGAGAAGGGGCCUAAAAUAGAAAUAAACGAUCAGGUUACAGAAUGAACUCGGAACGACCAAUUUUGGUUCAAGUAAAGGCCUCCGACCUCCCCGUCCCCUGAUGAUAAAUCUUUCAGCAACAGGUUGCUCCCCCGCAGAAACAGACUGUCUGGCAAUGUUUUCACCUUCUGCACUUGUCAGGAUGGAGAGUGUGUGAGGCGGGGGCCUGAACACACACGCAACCCACCGCAGACUCACACCUGCUCCGGGCUUCCUCUUUCAGCGGCUGACGGACUGGUCGAUACCCUGGCUGCUGACGGGAGGGCGAGAAGGGAGCAGGCUGCAGUGCAACAGAGCAUCUGCAGAAGGGAGCCGCUGACCGGACGCCCAAGAAUGAAGCGACAGGCUGAAGGGACAGGACCCAGCUCUCCCGCCAGAGAGCAUGUCAUUCUAAGGUCUCCCUCCUCUUCGUUUCCCCCUGGGGUAGAUUACUUAGAGUCAGUCCUACGGCUCUACAAAUUUAUAGCACAACGUGCACGUGUCCACCUGGCCCAGGUCUACCUGCGUACUCGGGGAAGGGCCACGCGGGGAUGAGGCUUCGACACUCUCCAGGGGUCUUGGUGACAAGUCGUUCAGGGGUGAUGGGGGCGGGGACCGGGGACCUAAACUCAGGAAGCCACUUCUACCCAUUGGUGUGGUGUUUUUGACAAAGAAAUAGGACAACAUUAUCUUCUUUGGUUUAUUUCUCUGGUUUCCUUGCUGUUUGCUUUUCCCUCCAAAUCACAUAGGGCCACACUGCAUUCAAGGGACCUGUGUGUCCCUACUAAGUGCCACUGACCCCUGCACUCGUGGGAGGCUUUAGUGUCGGAUCUGGCUGAUCCCCUUCUGUCAUCCAAAGGCUGCUUCUGCGAACCGAUGGGCCGGCCACUUGACCCUUAAGCCUCAGCCUCCUCGGCCUGAGAUGCAAAUUCUUUUCUGGUCCCCCCGGCCUGCUGGUCUGCAUCGUCCUGAGUGACUGACAGGGUCCUGGAUGCCCUACUGCGUCUUUGUGUGAACUGCCAAAGGCUCCCAGCUCUUGGCAGACUGACUGGAAAGCAUCCCUCUUUGAACUCAGGCAUCUGAGCCAGGGCACGUGGCUGGCACGUGGCUAGCGAGCAGGUCCUCAGCCCCCAGGCGCACCCCUCCGCCCAGCUCUCGGAUGCACGUCGUGGCCCUGAUUGGCAGCCACACCUUUCUCUUUGACUCCAGCCAGAGUGUCACAGAGAGGCUGGCCACGGGGCAAGUCAGGCAGUGCUCACUCUCCAGGCUCUUUGACUCCUGCGUUGGGGACCGUAACGUCUUGGCGCGGACAGCAGCAGCUCCACUUGUGCCAUGGCGACUUUCGUCUCAUUUGUUCACUCAGCCAGUCCUCACUCAGCGAAUGUCUUCCAAGAGCCAGGCUUGUACAAGGUGCUGAGGGUACUGAAGAGACAGAGACCAGGACAGACGUGGCCCCUGUGCUCCCGGGCCCGGCUCUAGGCAGGUGACGGGGAGGCCAUCUCACCGCACAGGUAUGACGGCGGCGGUGCGGGGGAAGCAGGGAGACUUGGUUGUUUGGGUUGAGGUAUUUGUCACGAGAACAGCAGGAGAAGACUAUGCCAGGGUUGGAGUUCUCUUGUGGCUGGGCGGGUUAUGAACCCAACUAGUUUCCACGAGGAUGAGGGUUCCAUCCCUGGACUCACUCAGUGGAUUAAGGACCCGCGUUGGCGUGAGCUGUGGUGCAGGUUGCAGACGGAGCUCGGAUCUCACGUUGCUGGGGCUGUGGUGUAGGCCAGCAGCUGUACCUCUGAUUCAACUCCUAGCCUGGGAACCUCCAUAUGCCACAGGUGUAGCCCUAAAAAGCAACAACAAGAAAAAAAGAGGGUGAGAAAUCAACUUUGAAAAAACCCUUGUGAAUGUUAAGGCUACGAGGCAGUGAAGGAUAGAGACCCUCCAGGAACCAAGGGGAGAUGCAGGGGGAGGGAACGAAGCUGGAGAAGGAGAGAAGGCAUGAGAGGAGGGUAUUGACAUGUCCGGGAGAGGGACACCGUGGCCAGACCGAGGCUUUCCGGCCAUGUUCCUCACGCAGUAGGAGGGUCAAAAGGCUUUAGGCAGGACAACAACGUGAUUGGGUUUGGGACUUACGAAGACGGUGGCUGGCAGCUCUAGCUGUGGAUGUUGUGUUAUCUGCCUGGCCUGGCUGCAUGACGACCCUCUCUGCCUGGGGCAGGUGUAAGGGCGGCGUGUUCAGGGACCCUCGUCCCCGGGCCUUUCCAUCACAGCCCUUCGCCUGUGUCUCCCCUAAAUACUAAACCCCACAUCUGGAGGGAGCCUUCUUAACUUGGUUUCCCCCUUAGCACGUCCCGUCCUCCAGCUGCAAAUCAUCCACCAGCAAACAUUCUGGGGACCUUUGUGCCCCUUUUAAGAGUUCUGGUCAUGGCUCAGCAGUAAUGAACCUGACUAGUAUCCAUGAGGACCUGGGUUCAAUCCCUGGCCUUGCUCAGUGGAUAAAGGAUCUGGUGUUGCCAUGGGCUGUGGUGCAGGUCAAAAACAUGGCUUGGAUCUGGCAUUGCUGUGGCUGUGGCUGUGGCCGGCAACUACAGCUCCAAUUGGACCCCUAGCCUGGGAACCUCCAUAUAUCGUGGGUGAGGCCCUGAAAGGCAAAAAAAAAAAAAAAAAAAAAA
rnacentral:lncRNA from 1 species